CGCUCAGGACGAACGCUGGCGGCGUGCCUAAUACAUGCAAGUCGAACGAACUCUGGUAUUGAUUGGUGCUUGCAUCAUGAUUUACAUUUGAGUGAGUGGCGAACUGGUGAGUAACACGUGGGAAACCUGCCCAGAAGCGGGGGAUAACACCUGGAAACAGAUGCUAAUACCGCAUAACAACUUGGACCGCAUGGUCCGAGUUUGAAAGAUGGCUUCGGCUAUCACUUUUGGAUGGUCCCGCGGCGUAUUAGCUAGAUGGUGGGGUAACGGCUCACCAUGGCAAUGAUACGUAGCCGACCUGAGAGGGUAAUCGGCCACAUUGGGACUGAGACACGGCCCAAACUCCUACGGGAGGCAGCAGUAGGGAAUCUUCCACAAUGGACGAAAGUCUGAUGGAGCAACGCCGCGUGAGUGAAGAAGGGUUUCGGCUCGUAAAACUCUGUUGUUAAAGAAGAACAUAUCUGAGAGUAACUGUUCAGGUAUUGACGGUAUUUAACCAGAAAGCCACGGCUAACUACGUGCCAGCAGCCGCGGUAAUACGUAGGUGGCAAGCGUUGUCCGGAUUUAUUGGGCGUAAAGCGAGCGCAGGCGGUUUUUUAAGUCUGAUGUGAAAGCCUUCGGCUCAACCGAAGAAGUGCAUCGGAAACUGGGAAACUUGAGUGCAGAAGAGGACAGUGGAACUCCAUGUGUAGCGGUGAAAUGCGUAGAUAUAUGGAAGAACACCAGUGGCGAAGGCGGCUGUCUGGUCUGUAACUGACGCUGAGGCUCGAAAGUAUGGGUAGCAAACAGGAUUAGAUACCCUGGUAGUCCAUACCGUAAACGAUGAAUGCUAAGUGUUGGAGGGUUUCCGCCCUUCAGUGCUGCAGCUAACGCAUUAAGCAUUCCGCCUGGGGAGUACGGCCGCAAGGCUGAAACUCAAAGGAAUUGACGGGGGCCCGCACAAGCGGUGGAGCAUGUGGUUUAAUUCGAAGCUACGCGAAGAACCUUACCAGGUCUUGACAUACUAUGCAAAUCUAAGAGAUUAGACGUUCCCUUCGGGGACAUGGAUACAGGUGGUGCAUGGUUGUCGUCAGCUCGUGUCGUGAGAUGUUGGGUUAAGUCCCGCAACGAGCGCAACCCUUAUUAUCAGUUGCCAGCAUUAAGUUGGGCACUCUGGUGAGACUGCCGGUGACAAACCGGAGGAAGGUGGGGAUGACGUCAAAUCAUCAUGCCCCUUAUGACCUGGGCUACACACGUGCUACAAUGGAUGGUACAACGAGUUGCGAACUCGCGAGAGUAAGCUAAUCUCUUAAAGCCAUUCUCAGUUCGGAUUGUAGGCUGCAACUCGCCUACAUGAAGUCGGAAUCGCUAGUAAUCGCGGAUCAGCAUGCCGCGGUGAAUACGUUCCCGGGCCUUGUACACACCGCCCGUCACACCAUGAGAGUUUGUAACACCCAAAGUCGGUGGGGUAACCUUUUAGGAACCAGCCGCCUAAGGUGGGACAGAUGAUUAGGGUGAGC
rnacentral:rRNA from 2 species